UACGUAGGAGGCGAGCGUUGUCCGGAUUUACUGGGUGUAAAGGGUCCGCAGGCGGGCAUCUAAGUCGGUGGUGAAAUCCUUCAGCUUAACUGAAGAACUGCCUCCGAUACUGGGUGUCUUGAAUAUAGGAGAGGGCAAUGGAAUUCCAGGUGUAGCGGUGAAAUGCUUAGAUAUCUGGAAGAACACCGGUUGCGAAGGCUGUUGCCUGGCCUAUUAUUGACGCUCAUGGACGAAAGCGUGGGGAUCAAACAGG
rnacentral:rRNA from 1 species